UUAGCUCAGGGCUAAUCUUGCUCAAGGAAAAAUAGAGGAAGAUUGGCAAAGGAUGUUAGCUCAGAGUGAAUCUUUCUCACUGAAAAAAAAAACCAAAAAGCUUGGCAUUUCCUUAUAAAGUUACACACAUAGGUACCAUACAACCCAGCAAUGCAGUUCCUAGGCAUUUACCAAAGAGAAAUGAAAACAGGUGUACACAAAAAGACUUGUACAUAAGUGUCAUAAAUUUCAUUCAUAAUACCCCAAAACUGGAAACAACCCAACAGUCCAUCAACUAGUGAAUGGAUAAACAAUUUGUAGGAUUCCAUAGAACAGAAUACUACUCAGCAAUAAAAAGGAACAAUCUUAAUACAAGAAAUAUCAGGAAAUUUUAAAAACAAACGAAGCCCAACACAAAAGGAUACAUAUUCUAUGAUUCCAUUUAUAGGAAUUCUAGAAAAGGCAACUCUAAUUUACAGGGCCAGUACGCAGACUAACGGUUUCCUUGGAGCAGGGGCUAGGUGGGCUAGGGAGCAGGGCGUAGUGCAAAGGGGCACUAGGAAACCUUUCCGAGUGACAGGAAUGUUCUAUGUCUUGACUGUGGGGCUGGCUACACAGGUACAUAGGUUUGUCAAGCCGCACCAAACUUAAAAUAAGUGCAUUUUCCUGUAAGUAAAUUAUAGCUCAAUGAAGUUGACUUUAAAACAUCAGACAGGCUCUCUGUAGGAUUUAAACUAGAGACGAGAGAAUGGAAAGCCUUUAGUUAGCAAAAGGAGAACAGAGCAGGCACUUGGAGAGAAGCACCGAGAGAGAGCAGCCAGCCACUAAGUGGCUUCAGAUUUUCUGGCACGCCAGUUCUAUACCACACAGAGCACAACAAUAAAUCGUCCUUUCUUUAACAUGGUGCCCUGAGAAAACCUUUGUUUCUCUCAACUAAAGGAAACUAACAAAACAACUGGCUAAAGUUUCUGAAUUUCUAUUUUAGCUCCUUCACUAGUACCUGCUACAGAGUAAAAAUGUUGAAUGCAUGAAUGAUGCACUGAUAACAGUGCUAUCAACCAUAUGCUUUGUUGAUCUGAACUAAUUUUUUAUAUUAAAAAAACUCAGUUCCAUGUUUUGAGGAUUAAAAAUAAUUUCACUUUUAAAUAAUUUUUUAAAACAAUGAAGGUAAGGUCCCUUUCAGAAAAUAUGUGAUAACACAUCGUAAAAAACAAAUCAAAAAAAUGAAUUAGUAUGGCAACACAAAUCUAAGAGUACCAGAUGAGAUAAGCCAUUUAUUUGAAAAGGAUUUAACAAUUUACAGUCAUAUUAUUAGAAACUAACUUUGCUAAUGGAUACAUAAAUUCUUUUUGUCUGAUUUUUUGAUAGAACGCAGUGAAAAUGACUUAGAGAAAAUAACGCCACAGAUACAGCUAAAAUGUGAAUGAAGCUGGAGGCAGCAGUGGACCACACACCAUGAAAUGUAAACAGAGGAGAAAAACGCUAGAUGCCAGACAGGAAGAGAAGAACCAGGAGAGCAGUCUUUACAAAUAGAGUAAAACUAUACUCCAAGAAGACAGACCAUGAUUAUCAUGUGUGUGCUCUCAAAAGAAUGGCAGUAAGAAGCAACAGCACAGAACAAAGGGAGCCACAGGUGGAAGAAGACGCAGCUCAGAGAGCAGAGCAGAAGGUCUUUAACCAGCCAGGCUAGAAUUGUCAAACAUUAUGCAGAGGACGGAG